UUUCCGUAGGUGAACCUGCGGAAGGAUCAUUAUCGUAUAAUCGAUGUGCGAUGGCUGUCCCUGAGCGGAAAGGUCGCGCACGCCCGAUUGCCCUCACACCCGUCCAUCUCAUCCGGAUAUGCGCCACUGCAGGGGUCCUCCUUACCCGUGUUCGGGGGGGGUCUUACGUUUUCCCACAAUCUUUGUAUGCAGAGUGGAAUAUAAUUUUUGUUUUGAUGUUCACGAAAUCAAUACAACUUUCAGCAACGGAUCUCUUGGCUCUC
rnacentral:misc_RNA from 1 species